GGGGAGGGGGAAGCCCACCAAAGGGAGCUGGGAGCCAGCCUCUCUCCUGUCUCUGGGGCCCUCUGGCCUCCGGUCAGACCAACUGAAGAACUGGGUUAGCUGUGCCCAUCUCAGCUUUCCCCAGCAUCCUGCCAAUCCAAACCCGGCAUGCCAGCACCCUGGAAACGGAGCCUCACAUUUCCCAGGAAGGCGAUCUGUCUUUUUCAAGGCAAGAAAUGAGCCUUCUUCAGUUUUAUAACUCCAGCAAUGAAGAUCUGGCAUACGCAAGCUGCCACAUUAGAGAGGCCCACGUGACAAAGCACUGAGAGCAGCCUCUGGCCAACAGCCAGCAAGGAACCAAAUUCCACCAGCGGCCAUGGGAGUGAGCUUGGAGCCUCUCCUUCCCCAGGUGAGUCAUGAGAUAACCACGGCCCCCGUCAAUACCUUGAUUUCAGCCUGUGAGAGACCCUGAAGCUCAGGACCCAAUUGAACUGCACUGGAGUUCCUGGCCCACAGAAACUGUGAAAUAAUAAAUGCAUUGUUUCAAGCCA